GGGGGUUACGACCCGUCGACUUAUCAGUGAGUGGGCAGUUUUGUUUUCGUAUUACCUAUAUGCUAUUGUUUUCCCAGAAAAUGCAUUUAUAUGAGAAAACGUUUUUAAAAUGCCAUGCAUAGAAUUAUUUGGAAAAAGGUGAAUUUCACAUGAGUUAUAUGAUUGAUAUAUGAUGCAUACAUAUUGCAUGGUGCUGUGGAGGCAAAGGUAAGUCAGGUGAGUUCAUUAUGCAUUGAAUUGGUUGAUAUCGAUAUAAUUUGAGCUCGUAAUCUGCACCCUAGGUGUUAGUGCUUAUAUUAUUCACCACACCGCACGCUCGCCUUGGAUCCAAGUAGGUGGAUGUCGUACAGACCAUGUGAGGGUUCCGACAUGCUAGUCGUACAGAUCACUAGGCGUGAUUCCGACUAGUGGGUGACCUUAGUUAUGCGCGCUGAUGAUAUGAUGAGAGAAGCACUAGAGCGUACUUUUACACCUUUCAUCGUAUAGACUACCUUACGUAGUUCCGAGUGAUGUGCAGAGUAGGGCCGUAUAGGUCACUGUGGUGACUCCGGCUUAGUGGGAUUUGAGCUAUUGAAUUAAUCGUAUAGGACCAACUGCAGGGUCUCCGAUUGAUUCCUUAUUUCACCUGAUUUAUAUUUUGAUUUAUGUCAUGGCAUGUUUUCUUGAAAAUGUUAAAGAUUUGAGAUUUAAGUUUUGAGAUUUUAUAUGGUUAUAUAUAUUUCUGGGAAAGUAUACAGGUUUUUACGGCGAGGGGAUAUAAUUGUUUUAUGAACUGUUUUGGAAAACUAAUUUGUUUUACUGACCCACUCAUUUUGUUUUGCGCCCCUCCAGGUUCUAGUUUAGCGGUGGUUGGCUCACGAGGUCCUUUCCGGCUUUCUGACAGAUUUGGGACAUGUAGGACUCACCUGAGGGUGAUGUAUUCUUAUUUUAGUCCUACUUGACUGCAGAUAACCUAUGCUCUGAACUUAUGUGUUUACUUGUAAACUCGUCCGGUUAUGUCCGUAUGUGGUUAUGUUGAAUUUGGUUUGAAAUUCUGUUGAUUUAUGUUGCUUUUCCGCUUCCGUGUUGUGCUUAUGGUUACGUCACGCCCACGUGACGGCCAGCACACCUGGAUCCUCCGGAUCAGGGUGUGUCAGUUUGGUAUCAGAGCUUAGGUUGCAGUCCUGUAAAUUUGUUAAUGUCUUAACGAUCUUUUGAUGUGUUUUCUGUCAGAAUCAUGCCGCCUCGUAGAGAGCGUAGGGAGUCCCGCCGUACUUCUGAAUCUAAUUUUCCGGAUAUUACUACUCAGUUAGGGGAAGCGAUGGCCCAGGCUUUACAGAAUGUGAUUCGUCCUCCCCCUCCUCCGAGGACACCUCUGGAGACCAUGUACAACUUGAAGUUAGAUCGGUUUAUGGGUAAUGAAAGUCAUGAGGGGGCAGAGAAAUGGCUUGAUCAUAUUGAGAAAACUUUCCAGGUGAUGCAGAGUCAGGGGAAUCUCCCUGCUAAUAGGUGGGUGGAGACCACCACUUGGUUUUUGGGUCGUGAACCAGCAGCAUGGUGGAUAAAUCAGGCUAGGUACAUGUCACCUGAGACGGCAGCCGACUGGAAAGUAUUCAAGGAGCAUUUUAUGAAGAGAUUCGUUCCUCCUGAGUAUAUUGACCGUAAGAAGCAGGAAUUCACCAGGUUGAAACAGAGAAAUAUGUCGGCACAUGAAUAUUAUAGAAAAUUUACUGAUUUGUCUCGCUAUGACACUGAUACAGCUGGUAAUCAGGGAGAGAUGCUUCGACGUUUCAAGUUGGGAUCUAAGAAGAAGUGGCGUACCUUUGCCAAUGCACUCCCCUGCGCUGAUUAUCAUGAGUAUUUCGAGAUUCUGGUUAGGAUGGAGGACUCUGAUAAUCUUCCUGACAGUGAGGAUGACGAGGACAAGAAUGAGGGUCAGAAGAAGAAUGACAAAGGUAAGGGUAUUUCUAUUCCGGGACCUCGACAGACACAGAGUUUUAAGAAGAGUGGAGCGAGUUCGAGCUCUUCUAGUGGGGGAUAUAGUUUUACUAGCCCGAGGAGAGGUGGUGGAAGAUUUUCUGGUGGACCCAGAUUUCAGGGUCAGAGGGAUGCUGGUGGAUCUGGCGCUCCAUGGUGCCGCCGUUGUAACUUCCGUCACCAUGGUGAGUGUAGGAGAGGUACUGGUGCCUGCUUUACGUGUGGGCAGAUGGGACAUCGGGCUUCUCAGUGCCACCAGGGUCAACAGAGACCACAGCAGACCACUAUACCACCUCCAGCACCAGUUCAUUCAGCAGAAUUUGGGACCGGGUGGUUAUGGCCAGCCGAGUCGUGGUGGUGCUUACCACUAUCAGGGGGAUGCUGCUCCGUAUGCUCCCGGACCUUAUCAGUAUUCCCAGGAGCCUUACUCUCAGGCUGGAUAUUCUCAGGAUUUUGGAGGUUAUUCAUCUUAUUCCUCUAUGCCAGCUGGUGAAUCGCAGUGGCAUCAGGGAGGCCAGCCCCGUCAGGGGGAAGUUGCUACUGGUGGUGCAGGAUCAUCCAGGCAGCCUAGUCAGCCAGGCCAGGGACGUAAUCCUCGGGGACGAGGUAAUCAGGGCAAUAGAGGCCGAGGUGGACGACAGCAGGCUCAGGGGCGAAUUAAUCAUAUUUCUUUGCAGGAGGCUCAGAACCAUCCAGACUUGAUUAUGGGUACGUUGAAUGUUCUUGGUCAUUUUGCUAAGGUUUUGAUUGAUUGUGGUGCUACGCACUCUGUGAUUUUUCAUACGUUUGUUCAAAUAACCCAACCUCACCCUUCACCUCUAGGAUUUGAUUUAGAGUUUGCCAUGCCUAGAGGAGAUAAAUGUUAUGUGGAUAGUGUGUAUCUGGGGUGUCCAGUGAUGGUUGAGGGCGUGAUUAUGUCCGCUGAUCUUAUUCCGUUAGAUAUUGUGGAUUUUGAUGUGAUUUUAGGGGCCGAUUGGUUACACCAUAAUCGUGCCCAUAUUGAUUGUUAUGGUAAAUCAGUUACUUUUUAUCGUCCUGGAUUACCCGAGGUUACUUUUGUGGGCGAGAGAAGUGGGGUGAGACAUGGAGUUAUUUCUGCCAUAAGGGCGAGGAAAUUAUUAUCGAAGGGUUGUCAGGGAUAUUUGGCACAUGUGGUAUUAAAUGAUGUUGCUCCUACUAGUAUAGAAGAAGUUGGUGUGGUCAGACAUUAUUCGGAUGUAUUCCCUGAUGAUUUGCCGGGAUUACCACCACCAGACAGGGAGGUGGAAUUCUCUAUUGAUUUGCUUCCAGGUACGGACCCUAUAUCUCUGACUCCUUAUAGAAUGGCUCCUGCUGAGUUGAGGGAAUUAAAAAUCCAGUUGCAAGAAUUACUUGAUAAAGGUUUUAUUCAACCUAGUUCUUCACCUUGGGGUGCCCCAGUAUUAUUUGUGAAGAAGAAGGAUGGAACUCUUCGAUUGUGUAUUGAUUAUAGACAAUUGAACCGGGUAACGAUUAAAAACCGUUAUCCAUUGCCUCGCAUUGAUGAUUUGUUCGAUCAGCUGAAAGGUGCAUGUGUAUUUUCUAAGAUUGAUUUGAGAUCUGGAUAUUAUCAAUUGAAGAUUAAAGAAGAUGAUGUACCUAAGACGGCUUUCCGAACUCGGUACGGACAUUACGAAUUUUCGGUUAUGCCGUUUGGGUUGACUAAUGCACCUGCAGCUUUUAUGAGAUUAAUGAAUGAGGUUCCAGAAAUAUCUUGAUAAAUUUGUUAUUGUUUUUAUUGAUGAUAUUCUGGUAUACUCUAAGUCCCAAGCAGAUCAUAUCCGACACCUUAAUUUGGUGUUAAGGAAAUUAAGGGAGCAUCAGUUGUAUGCCAAGUUCAGUAAAUGUCAGUUUUGGUUGACUGAAGUGGCAUUUUUGGGGCAUGUUGUAUCAGCUCAAGGUAUUCAAGUUGAUCCUCAAAAGAUUGCAGCAGUGGAGAAUUGGGAGCAACCUCGAACCGUCACGGAGGUACGAAGCUUUCUUGGCUUAGCAGGUUAUUAUCGACGGUUCGUUCAGGAUUUCUCUAUGAUUGCUUUACCGUUGACAAAGUUGACCAGGAAGGAUGUUAAAUUUGAGUGGGAUGAGAAUUGUGAGCGGAGUUUUCAACAAUUGAAGUAUUGCCUCACUCAUGCACCGGUGUUGGUACUUCCCGACGAUAGCGGUAAUUUUGAGAUAUAUAGUGAUGCUUCAUUAAAUGGUUUGGGAUGUGUUUUGAUGCAGCAUAAUAAGGUGAUUGCCUAUGCUUCUAGGCAGUUGAAAAAUCAUGAAAGGAACUAUCCUACUCACGAUCUUGAAUUGGCAGCAAUUGUUUUUGCUUUGAAAAUUUGGAGGCAUUAUUUGUAUGGUGAGAAGUGUAAGAUCUUCACUGAUCACAAGAGUCUUCAAUAUUUGUUUACUCAGCAUGAUCUUAAUCUUCGUCAGCGAAGGUGGAUGGAAUUGCUAAGUGAUUAUGAUUGUUCUAUUGAAUACCAUCCAGGUCGUGCUAAUGUAGUAGCGGAUGCACUGAGUAGGAAACCACAAGGUAGACUUAAUGCCCUAUAUGCUAGUCGUGUUCCUCUUCUUGCUGAACUGAGGGCAACUGGAGUAAGAUUGGAGUGGGAGAAUCAAGGUGGAGCAUUUCUUGCUAGUUUUCAAGUCAGGCCAGUUUUGGUGGAGCGUAUACUUGCAUCUCAAAUGGUGGAUGAAGAAAUUCAGGAGUUGGUUCAGUUAAGAAGUGAAGGGAAAAAGAAAGACCUCAGAAUUCGGGAAUCAGAUGGUAUGCUCAUGCAAGAAGACAGAAUGUAUGUUCCGAAUAAUGAGGAAUUGAAGAAGGAAAUUCUGGAUGAAGCACAUUGUUCAGCUUAUGCGAUGCAUCCGGGAGGAACAAAAAUGUAUCAUACCAUUCGACCAUUUUAUUAUUGGCCGGGUAUGAAAAGAGAAAUUGCAGAAUAUGUGAGCAGGUGUAUUAUUUGACAGCAAGUGAAAGCAGAAAGGAAGAAGCCCUUUGGGCGAAUGCAACCCCUUCCUGUUCCCCAGUGGAAAUGGGAAAAUAUAACCAUGGAUUUCGUGUAUAAACUUCCUCGUACGCGAAAUGGAUUUGAUGGUAUUUGGGUGAUUGUGGAUCGACUCACCAAGUCGGCGGCGCAUUUCAUUCCAGUGAGGGAGAAAUACCCUCUGAAUAAAUUGGCUAAGUUGUUUAUUUCGAAGAUUGUCAAGUAUCAUGGAGUCCCAGUAAAUAUUAUCUCCGAUCGAGACCCGAGGUUUACUUCUAAAUUUUGGGUGGCUUUUCAGGAAGCUCUGGGUACUCAAUUACUGUAUAGCACAGCUUAUCAUCCUCAAACUGAUGGGCAAUCAGAGAGGACCAUUCAGACGUUGGAAGAUAUGUUGAGAUCUUCGGUAUUACAAUUUGGUGAUUCUUGGCAUGAUCGUCUGGACUUAAUGGAGUUUGCUUAUAAUAACAGUUUUCACUCGAGCAUUGGUAUGUCCCCAUUCGAGGCACUUUAUGGUAGGGCGUGUCGAACGCCAUUGUGUUGGUCUGAGGUUGGUGAACGGGUAUUAGAAGGCCCUGAGAUCGUGGAUGAGACGACUCAAAAUGUUCAGGUAAUUAAGUCAAACCUGAAAGCAGCCCAGGAUCGACAUAAGAGUUUAGCGGAUCGGCAUACUACUGAUCGAGUGUAUGAUGUGGGUGAUUGGGUAUUCUUGAAAUUGUCGCCUUGGAGAGGUGUGGUACGAUUUGGGAAAAGAGGAAAGCUAAGUCCGAGAUAUAUUGGACCUUAUGUGAUCAUUGAAAGAGUUGGUGAAGUUGCCUACCGGUUGGAACUGCCUCCGGAGUUAUCUAAGGUCCAUAAUGUGUUCCAUGUCUCUAUGCUUCGGCAUUAUAUUUCUGAUCCUUCUCAUGUGAUUCCUCCUCAACCGUUAGAGAUUAAUCCGGAUUUGACGUAUGAUGAGGAACCAAUCACAAUAUUGGAUUGGAAGGACAAGGUUCUAAGGAACAAGACGGUGAGUUUGGUGAAGGUGUUGUGGAGAAAUCAUUCUGUGGAGGAAGCUACUUGGGAGACGGAAGACCGGAUGAGAGAGAUGUACCCAAGAUUAUUCUACGAGUAUUGAAUUAUGAUUUGGUUAUGGGAAUUUCGGGGACGAAAUUCUAUAAGGAGGGGAGAUUGUCACAGCCCGUCCCGGAGGUACUUUUGGCGGGAAUGUGAAAGGACAAAAAUGCCCUUGUCAGGUAUCAAGGUAUGGGUGUAUUACGUUUUGAAAAUGUUUGGUCCCUAAACUUUUAAGAAGUUGUUUAAGUUAGAAAUAUUUUGGAAGUUGAUUUUAUAUUUUUGUGGUUAGGGACUUAAGAGAGAUUUUGGAUGGUGUGGAUUGGUUUGACCACACAAGAUCAGUCCCUUUCUCUCCUCCCUCUCGAUCACUCUCUCAGUCUCUCUCUCUCUCUCUCCCGACCUCACACCCAAACACACCCAUAUCGUACGGACCUUCACCCAAAACCCUUCGAAACUCAACGGAUCGGGGCAAAUAAGGUAUGUAUCUUCAUCGUUUUGACGUCCUGAGUUCAUUGGUGCUAGUUUUAGGAAGUGAAACCUUCGAUUUCACGUAGAUCCCGAACCUCCAUUUUUGAGGUACUGUUCAUGCGAACGUAAAAUGUUGUGUUUCAGGAGAUUUCAAGCUUGUGGUGAGCUUUAGGAGGUCCUAAGGAAGCUCGGGGACAUUCGUUGGAGAGUUUUGGACGUCGGGAUCGUAGGUUUCAAGUUUGGCCGAAAUCUUUGGUUUUUGCAAGGUGAGAUUUCGUAGUUUUUAGGCCCUAAAACUAGUCCAACGUGAUAGUACACUCUUAGGGCUUUAAUUUGGUAUAAAAUACGAAGAAAAUGGGUGAAAAACGAAGGAGAACAGUGAGUUUGAAAAUCGGCCGGAGUUCGGCCGGAGUCCGGCCACCGGAGAACCAGUCCGGCGAGGCCCUGCGAAGAAGACGACACGUGCGCUGCACGUGCUGCGCGUGGCCAGCGCGUGGACCCGUGCCACGUGUGGCGCGUGGGGGCGCGUGGGGCUUCCAAAAUUUUUUCUGAAAAAUUUCUCGACGCUCGUGACGUCGAGUAGGUCGAUGUGGUAUAUUCAUAUACCAAAAUUGAGCAUCGUAUGAGAAGUUAUUUCGAAUUAUUGGUGAUAUGCUUAAAAUUAAUGUUUUUAUAGUUGUUUCGCAUAUAGGUGAGACGUAUCCCGAGGACGACCGCAUCCAGGGACGCCACGGGGGUUACGACCCGUCGACUUAUCAGUGAGUGGGCAGUUUUGUUUUCGUAUUACCUAUAUGCUAUUGUUUUCCCAGAAAAUGCAUUUAUAUGAGAAAACGUUUUUAAAAUGCCAUGCAUAGAAUUAUUUGGAAAAAGGUGAAUUUCACAUGAGUUAUAUGAUUGAUAUAUGAUGCAUACAUAUUGCAUGGUGCUGUGGAGGCAAAGGUAAGUCAGGUGAGUUCAUUAUGCAUUGAAUUGGUUGAUAUCGAUAUAAUUUGAGCUCGUAAUCUGCACCCUAGGUGUUAGUGCUUAUAUUAUUCACCACACACCGCACGCUCGCCUUGGAUCCAAGUAGGUGGAUGUCGUACAGACCAUGUGAGGGUUCCGACAUGCUAG
rnacentral:lncRNA from 1 species